rnacentral:rRNA from 1 species
GCGAACGGGUGAGUAACACGUGGGCAAUCUGCCCUGCACUCUCGGGACAAUUCCCUGGAAACGGGGUCUAAUACCGGAUACUGACCCGCUUGGGCAUCCAACCGGUUCGAAAGCUCCGGCGGUGCAGGAUGAGCCCGCGGCCUAUCAGCUUGUUGGUGAGGUAAUGGCUCACCAAGGCGACGACGGGUAGCCGGCCUGAGAGGGCGACCGGCCACACUGGGACUGAGACACGGCCCAGACUCCUACGGGAGGCAUCAGUGGGGAAUAUUGCACAAUGGGCGAAAGCCUGAUGCAGCGACGCCGCGUGAGGGAUGACGGCCUUCGGGUUGUCAACCUCU